rnacentral:rRNA from 1 species
CAGAGGGUGCAAGCGUUAAUCGGAAUUACUGGGCGUAAAGCGCGCGUAGGUGGUUGGUUAAGUUGGAUGUGAAAGCCCCGGGCUCAACCUGGGAACUGCAUCCAAAACUGGCCGGCUAGAGUAGGGCAGAGGGUGGUGGAAUUUCCUGUGUAGCGGUGAAAUGCGUAGAUAUAGGAAGGAACACCAGUGGCGAAGGCGACCACCUGGGCUCAUACUGACACUGAGGUGCGAAAGCGUGGGGAGCAAACAGGAUU